rnacentral:lncRNA from 1 species
UUUUUGCUCAUCACCAGAGAAAAGGUGGGUGGCCACAACUGGAUCCUGUUCACCUUUGACUCCCGACUCCCUGGGUGGCCGGCAGCCAACCCUUCCCGAACAUUACAUCGGGGUAAAACUCGGUACAUGUAACUGCGUGUGGUCAAUGAUAAAGGCAUUGCUGAUUUUAGUGGUGAUGUUAUAUGUCUGCCAUCCUCUUGCUCCCUCUCAUGCCUUAAGGAAUGCC